rnacentral:rRNA from 1 species
GAUGAACGCUGGCGGCGUGCUUAACACAUGCAAGUCGAACGAUGAAGCCCAGCUUGCUGGGUGGAUUAGUGGCGAACGGGUGAGUAACACGUGAGUAACCUGCCCUUAACUCUGGGAUAAGCCUGGGAAACUGGGUCUAAUACCGGAUAGGAGCGUCCACCGCAUGGUGGGUUUUGGAAAGAUUUAUCGGUUUUGGAUGGACUCGCGGCCUAUCAGCUUGUUGGUGAGGUAAUGGCUCACCAAGGCGACGCCGGGUAGCCGGCCUGAGAGGGUGACCGGCCACACUGGGACUGAGACACGGCCCAGACUCCUACGGGAGGCAGCAGUGGGGAAUAUUGCACAAUGGGCGCAAGCCUGAUGCAGCGACGCCGCGUGAGGGAUGACGGCCUUCGGGUUGUAAACCUCUUUCAGUAGGAAAGAAGCGAAAGUGACGGUACCUGCAGAAGAAGCACCGGCUAACUACGUG